UCUCGGCAAAUUAUCCUCAUAAGUGUGACAAUAAGAUCUCGCCAAAUUAUCCUCAUUAGUUUGACAAUAAGAGGAACCACUUAAAUAAUUAUGGUGGUGUCACAAAAUCGGAGGCCCCGACUGUUUACUAAAAACACAAUUCAGAGCAAUGAUGUAAAUCAUAGUAUUCUGGAUGAAAUUUGCCCGAUGCCAUUAACAUAAAAGAGGUAAUGGGAAACUGUUACUAAUUGAAAGUCUGGUUAAUAGCGGUCUUAACUAUGAGGAUCCUAAGGUAGCAAAAUCAGUUGGCCAUUAAAUGUGGUCUGGUAUCAAUAGUGUAACGAUGGUCUCACUGUCUCUACAACUUGCUCAGUGAAAUUGAAUUAUCCGUGCAGAUGCGGAUUGCCUCCGGGUGGACGGACACACCCUAUGCAGCUUCGACUGAAGAAGGACGGGAAGACCCUAUGCAGCUUCUACUGA
rnacentral:rRNA from 1 species